rnacentral:rRNA from 1 species
GACGAACGCUGGCGGCGUGCUUAACACAUGCAAGUCGAACGGUGAAGCGCCUUCCUUUUUGGUGGGUGUGGAUGAGUGGCGAACGGGUGAGUAACACGUGAGUAACCUGCCCCCUUCUUCUGGAUAACCGCAUGAAAGUGUGGCUAAUACGGGAUAUUCUGGGUCUGUCGCAUGAUGGGUCUGGGAAAGAUAUUGUUUCGGUGGGGGAUGGGCUCGCGGCCUAUCAGCUUGUUGGUGGGGUGAUGGCCUACCAAGGCGGUGACGGGUAGCCGGCCUGAGAGGGUGGACGGUCACGCUGGGACUGAGACACGGCCCAGACGCCUACGGGAGGCAGCAGUGGGGAAUAUUGCACAAUGGGCGCAAGGCUGAUGCAGCGACGCCGCGUGAGGGAUGGAGGCCUUCGGGUUGUGAACCUCUUUCGCCAGUGAAGCAGGCCUGCCUCGUUUGUGGGUGGGUUGACGGUAGCUGGAUAAGAAGCGCCGGCUAACUACGUG